rnacentral:rRNA from 1 species
GACGAACGCUGGCGGCGUGCUUAACACAUGCAAGUCGAACGAAGUGGCGAACGGGUGAGUAACGCGUAAUCAACCUGCCCUUCAGAGGGGGACAACAGUUGGAAACGACUGCUAAUACCGCAUACUGAAGGAGGGGAUUGCGGUUGAUUAGCUAGUUGGGGGGGUAACGGCCCACCAAGGAGAUGAUCAGUAGCCGGUCGGAGAUGAUGAACGGACACAUGGGAACUGAGACACGGCCCAGACUCGGACGGGGGGCAGCAGUGGGGAAUCUUCCGCAAUGGAAGAAAGUCGGACGGAGCAACGCCGCGUGAGUGAUGACGGCCUUCGGGUUGUAAAGCUCUGUUAAUCGGGACGCGGUACCGGAAUAGAAAGCCACGGCUAACUACGUGCCAGCAGCCGCGGUAAUAC